GUGCAGCAGGCGCGAAAACUUCACACUGUGCGAAAGCACGAUGAGGGAAUCCCAAGUGCUUGCACGUAAGUGUAAGCUGUUUCUCUGUUUAAAACGCAGAGAGAGUAAGGGCUGGGUAAGACGGGUGCCAGCCGCCGCGGUAAUACCUGCAGCUCAAGUGGUGACCGUUAUUAUUGGGCCUAAAACGUCCGUAGCCGGUUUAAUAAAUGCCUGGGUAAAUCGUGUAGCUUAACUAUACGAAUUCCGGGUAGACUGUUAAACUCGAGACCGGGAGAAGUUAGAGGUACUCCUGGGGUAGAGGUGAAAUUCUGUAAUCCUAGGGGGACCACCAGUGGCGAAGGCGUCUAACUAGAACGGGUCUGACGGUGAGGGACGAAGCCCUGGGGCGCAAACGGGAUUAGAUACCCCCGUAGU
rnacentral:rRNA from 1 species